GUGCCAAAGUGGGCGGGACCAAGACGAGCGAUUGGCGGAGCAAGUGGGAAGGCACCGCACCGAGGUGCCUCGCCGAGCUGAGAAACGGAUUUGGUCAGGAGUACGGGUGCAGAGUCGAGACUCCAGAUUGGAUGAUCUUCCGUGAAAACCUCUAUUCUGCGACGUAUGUCUUCCUCAUGGUCCGAUUGGCUCAUUCCCCCUCCCGUUGGUCUAGAGCGGACACUACAAACCGCGACCGGAUGUUCAGAUGAGAAAACCGAGGCACACAGCGAGGCGGCCCGGGGAACCAAGGGUUGGAGCAUCGCUGCCCGUCAUCUCAACCCGAGUGCUCCCUCCAGAUCUCUGCCGCCCCCCCUAAGGAACUCACAUCUGUCUUCACAUCGAUUUUGCCAGGUUUCAGGGUCUGGUCCUCACGUACAACACUACUGGGGAAAUAGCCCAGGCGAGCCGCCAGAUCUCCAUAGUAAUCUCCCUGAACCUGGAGGGGAAGAAUCAAAAGCCAGGGUCUGGGAAGAUGGCAAAUUGUUCCGGCUGAAGACCUUUGUACAUUUUUUCCUCCUGGUCUCCAGAUGGCCGGCUCCAUCCUUGUCACUCAGAUCUCAGCUUCAAGGCACUUGCGCGGAUGCCCUCCCUGACCACCCGAGGCAGUCACCCAGUCUGUACUAAUUCUCAAAGGAGCAUGUAUUUGCUGAUGUUUUUGAUGGUUUGAUCCCAAUAAAAGGGAUCAUCCGCUGCUCUUUC